AUGAGAGAUGUGGAAAAAAGUGAAGUAAGGGUACCCUAUGGGUAUCUGAUUUUGCCCCCUUUUUUUGCGAAUAAUCUGAUUUUGCCCCUUGGUCUCUUUUUUCAUGACAAAAAGGAAAUUCCAUUCAUUGAACCCUUGUUCAGUUUUCCAAAGAGAAAAAAAUCAUCCCAGCCUGGCCAGAUGGGCCAACUAUCAGGCUGCUCUAGACCACCACCGAGCCGAGCUGUGAAACAGUCCAGCCCGGCCUGUUUUGCUGCAAGGAAGAACAAGAAAAAUACCAGCGCACAUGUGCCUGUGUUUGAUUCCCUCCAAAAAAAAUGUGCGUGUGUCUGA
rnacentral:rRNA from 1 species